GGUUGAUCCUGCCAGUAACAUAUGCUUGUCUCAAAGAUUAAGCCAUGCACGUGUGCGAAAAACCAACUAUUUUCCGCAAUUCUGCGUACAGCUCAUUAAAUCAGUUAUAAUUUCUGUGAGGAUCAUGUUUGAUUACUUUAUACGGAUAACCGUAGUAAUUCUAGAGCUAAUACGUGCGUUUGGGUUUGUAGCAAUACAAACUGUGCUGAUUAGAUUCUGUGUGACGUUGUAGCACUAUUUCUGUGAGACGACUCAUAAUCAUC
rnacentral:rRNA from 1 species